GGGCCUAAUUGAUAAAUCGAAUGUCCAAUAAAUAAAAAAAAAAAUCACAAAAAAGACGUUAUAAAUCUCUUAUUAUUUAACUUACUUUAAUACUAUUUUGAAUGAUCUUACUUCUCUUCUAUGUUUAAAUUCUUUAAAAAAAAAAAAAAAAAAAAAAUGUAUUUUGUUAUUUUUUUCUUCUUUCACUCGCUGCAAUGAUUUAUUCCCUAAUUUUGAUCUUCCUACUUUAUCAUUUCAUUUUUGAUGAACAUUUCCUCCUUCCUCGUCUUUUUAUUAAGCCCUUUAUUCACUUUAUAAACAUUCGGAAUCUUCUGGGUCCCUCCUACUCAAGUAAUGAACACGCUGUUGCUAGGCAACUAAAAAACAUGGCCGCCGAGCAGAAGCCAGCUAACGACGGUGGGUAAGAAAUGAACAAGCCGUCACGCCGCCGUUGAAGACGGCCGUGUCUACGGAACAUACGUUUUUAAUACGGGUUUCAGGCUCGCGCCGGCUCCGCGUGGCCGCUCGGCUCGUUUCAAAUGACCUUCAAACUCGGAAAUCAUUCUGAAACGACACCAUAAUUACACGAUAAUUACAACUUCCACUGGGGCCCGUCAAGAGCAGUCAUGAGCGCCUUGUUUACUUCAGAAGAUCCUCUGCAGUAUGUAGGAGGCGAAGGAGGGCAUGCCGGGUGGGCCUGCAGCAAACUCCAUCAGCAUGGUCAAGAGCUUGAAGAAAGGGUUCGCCGCCUAACACACACACACACACACACACACACACACACACACACACAAAUGAGAAAUGAAGAAAAAAGUGAAACAUAGCCCCCAAUUUAUUAUUAAAAACCUUUUCAUGAAUCCGGCGUAAAAGUUCACGAAAAGGUUCCUGUAGUGCAAACGUGCCCGAUUCUUCCCAAGUUCCUGAAAAGGAUGCCGGUGCAUAAAUGUGGAUGAAGUUCUGAAAACGUUACUGGGUUCCUGCAGCGACGAUAUACGUUCUUGAAAAGAUUCCCGGGCUCAGGAAAAAAAAAAAAAGAUUCCUGAGCACCUCCGUGUGUUUCUGAAAAUGUUCCAGAGGUUCCUGAAAUAGCUGGUGAAGCGCAAACAUGCGUAACGUUCCAGAGUUCCUUGGUUCCUGAAAAAGCUCCUUGGUCUCAGACAAGCCUGAUGCAGAGGACAUGUACUAUGUGUAGUUCCUGAUUUCCUGAAAAAGUUCCAGGUUCCUGAAAAGGUUCUGGUGGUGGAAAAGUGCCUAAAGUUCCUGCAGUCACCAUAAGAUUCCUUGGGUUCUUGUAUCUUAAUGUAUCUAAAGCUCCUGAGUUCCUAAAAAAAAAAGACUUCUAGGUUCCUGAAAAAGGAAAUUGACAGGAACCUAAAAUAAAAAGCCAGGAAUUCCAAUGACUUUCCAACGGAUUUUAUUUUAGAAGCACAAGACAUCUCCGUUUUGUCCAGUAGUUUAGUUUCAAACAUCUCAGAAGGCUCGAGCAUUAGUACUCACGUUCUCAGGACCUUUAGUACCCAUGUAGAAGUGCACCAUGAUGGAGAUGGCCUGCAGGGACAGCAGGAACUGGCUCUGUAAGCAAAAACAAACACAAAAAAAACCCAAGCAUAUAAACAGCGAGUAAAGCGGCUGCAGCAGCGGGAGUGAAAUCCCAGCUCGACGCUAAACAAUAAAACCGUAGCGAGAGAGAUGAAGCUAGCUGGCGUCACCUCUUCC